UCUGAUGGGAGUGGCUCGGGCGGACUUUGACAGGCGUCUUCCUAUCAACACCCGCUUCAGAGCGGUGGAAACGGAAGGGUAGAGAUGCUGCCGGUGUUAGCAGACUGUGGUGCGGGAUUCGAAUCCCUCUCCCCGAGAUUGAAGUCUGCGCUUUCUUCUUCAGCUGCCACGUUUCACUGGAGCUGGUGGAGGAAGGCGCCCGGAGUACCACGGCGUUAUCAGUGCCUCACACGUGCGCUCGGGCGUGGAGAGCUCACACACCCGAUUUCCCGACCACGUUCUUGAUAGCGGGCUUUGUGGACCUCCUGACCCGGAGACAAGUGCUAGGAUGGUAUGACGCUCUGAAGAAGUCAUUUGCCCUAUUCUGAAACUGUUUCCUUGUCUGUAAAGUGGGAAUAAUGUUAAAUGAAAUAAUGCGAUUCAAGAUCCCAGAGUGAUGACUGACACAAGAAUAGAAUGCCUCUGUGAUGGAAAGAAGAAAACCCCCAGGAUCCCAGGAAGUUCUGAGAUACUCUGAACUUCACAGCAGGCUCAGGAGUGCCACGACCAGAACCCACCAUGUGCAGCCUCAGCUGGAGCCAAGAACCAUGUGCCUGCAUGGAGAGGAACACCACACUGUGGUUCCCUAUCCACCAAAGUGUGACUUCACCCACCACCUACAUCUUGGGACACUACAGCCACAGCCAUAGCCCUUCCCACAUGGUAAUCUCCACUGUGGGACAAUGGACAGGGUCAGGAAGCAGCUGUCUGCUGCAGCACUGCGUGCCACACUGUGCCAUCACCGAACAGGCUUCCCAAUGCUAUCACACAGCCCAUCCUCCCAGCCCCAUCUGUGAAAGUGGAUGCCUCCAUUUUGGGACACCUCAACUGCUAUAUUGGGUUACUUCCACUGCCACCUCCGCCAUAUUUAGUUGGGGAAGAUUCCAUCUUGGGACACCAACUGAGGCCUGGAAGCCCAAUACCAAGGUACCUACAGGCUUGACGCUACUGCUGCCACCAACUAGGAAUGUGGCCACUUCUAUCUAGGGACAAUAACCAGGAACUGGAAGACCAUCACCAAGGUCUCUGGGGGCCCAGUGGCACCAGAAGUAUCCCUGCUAGGUGUGCUAACAGUCACCAUCCUGUUGCAGAGGCAACAGGGAGCCUUGUAUAGGGUCGCCUCUCUCUCCUUUUUUUUCCCUCCUGCUAACAGCCAACUUCUGUUGAUUCCCCUUUCACUCAUCCUAUAAUCUAAUACCUCUAUAUUCUCACAUCCUACCUCAUAAACAUCACAUCCUACUCCCUUCCCUCUCUCUCUGAUCACCACUACAAACUCUAAACCCUAUUCAAACCUACUGGCUAUAUGGUAGAAGAUAACCAAACUCAUCAUUUCUGUUUAUAGUGGCAAAACUGUGUCUAAAAAGAAGCUAAUUGAUUUAUAGCUGCAUAGUUGCAUUGGGUACUGUAAAUGUUAAUCUUUCCCUUAAAGGUGAGGUAUCCCUGCAGGGACAUUACAAGAUUAUAGAGUAGAAACUUCAAUACCUUAGAUCCACAAUGCAAGAGAGGAAGAGACAUAGACAACAUGAAAAAACAAGGAAGGAAAAUGCCCCAAACCAACCAAGAUGGUAUAACACUAGAAUCCAAUGACAGUGCUAUAGAUGACAGAAAAGGAGUUCAGAAUAUACAUAAUUCGGGGCUGGGGUUGUGGUUCAGUGAUAGAGCACUUGCCUAGCAUGUGUGAGACACUGGGACACUCAGAGCCACAUAAAAGAAUUAUGUCCAUCUACAACUAAAAAAACAUAUUUUUUAAAAAGAAUGUACAUGAUUAAAAUGAUCUGUGAAUCAAAGAAUGACCUAAAUGAGCACAUACAGGCAAAAAUUGAUCACUCUAACAAAGA